GAUCAUAAAGCAUCUCUCGAAGGAACAGGAGAUUGCAGAACUGAUCCGAGAAUCAACAAGGGCCGGGCGAAGGAUGUUGUGAAUGUACAGACCUUGUCCAGGCUGUUGGACUUCUGGAAUGAAGAUAUGGCUAUCAUAGAUGUCAAAGGUAGAGAUAGGCACACAUUAUAUCAGCUUGAGGAUGGGAGUGUAUGGUCCACUGGCAUGAACAAGUACGGCCAGCUUGGUUUGGGCGACACAGCCGAGAGGAAUGAACCUUGCCUGGUACCAGUCACAGGCGUCGAACAAUGUUUGCUGGGGGAUGGAUUUCAGUGUUUAUUGCAACAGACACUAGUGUGAGAUGACAUGUGGUUUGUUGUUACUGUGAUGCACUCUAACUUUGCACAUCUGUAUAUUUAUAUUAAUUUAAAUUUGUUUAUAUGUAUGUUGACAUGUAUGUAAGCACAUGUACCUAUAAAUACACAAAUUACCAAUCUUUUUAAUUAAGAAAUGAAAUAUGUCUCUUCAUUAAUAAAUGGAAAUUCGG
rnacentral:lncRNA from 1 species